rnacentral:rRNA from 1 species
UACGUAGGGGGCAAGCGUUGUCCGGAAUCAUUGGGCGUAAAGAGCGUGUAGGCGGUCCGAUAAGUCGGUUGUAAAAGUCCAGGGCUCAACCCUGGGAUGCCGACCGAUACUGUCGGACUAGAGUUCGGAAGAGGCGAGUGGAAUUCCCGGUGUAGCGGUGAAAUGCGCAGAUAUCGGGAGGAACACCUAUGGCGAAGGCAGCUCGCUGGGACGUUACUGACGCUGAGACGCGAAAGCGUGGGGAGCAAACAGG